UAAUGAUGAUGAGAGCAAUUUCUGAGCAUAACCUUGAAUAUUUCCCAAGCUUGGUAAAGAUUCUCUCCAUCUUUCUGCCUGAAACUCAGAAUCUCACUUCUCAAACA
rfam:Capsicum annuum cultivar Zunla-1 chromosome 4, whole genome shotgun sequence